CACGAUAAGGGCAAACCAUUCGAAAGAAUGGGACGCAAAACCAUAGGGCCUUUUACUUGUAAAUGGCAGCCGUGUUACCGAAA
rnacentral:ncRNA from 1 species